GCCGCACGGUGACCACAUCAAAGCCCUCCCCCACAAGGUUGUGGCCUGGUGCGAAGGGAGCGGACUCACACUGGCUGCCAUUCCCAGUCUGACAGGAGAGAACAGGGGAGUGGUACGACAGAAAGAGGAGGAGACUCAGUUGGAAUUUCCUGGAUGAGACCUUGGCCCUAGACUGUGGAAACAUGUUAAGUGGAAACUGAUGUUUUGUAGAACUAAGCACUUGCUUUGCCGUCUUUGCCUUUCUUUUUUGGUGUUUUCUGAGAAUUCUCUCGCUGACUCUCUCAACAUAAUACAUUCUAAAAAAUAGUCACCAUAGAGUGUCAGGAAACAGAUUUCUGUUUUUAGGGUUCAAACCCCAAAGGUGUAGAACCUUAUUGCUGCUUAACAAAUUGAAUUGAACCUGACCUUUUAGCAAAAUUUUAUUAAUUUUGUUUGUUGAUAUUGUUUACUUAUUAAUAGUUAGCCUUAGUCUUUGCUGUUGUUUGCACAGUUAACACUGUUUUGUUGCAUUGAUUUAACUGACUUUAUCCAAAGAAACUGAGAUUUAGCACAAGUGUGGUGCUCAGGAUAAGGUCAGUUUUACCCAUAUUUAUUAUAUUAUAUUUAUUAUAUUUAUAUUUAGACUGUACACUGUGCGUCAUGUUGCACAUACUGCCAUAAUUUAUCCAUUUAUUGUUGUCUUGGGCACUGAUGUUGUUUGCAGCAAAUAAUAUGGCAUUGUGGAACAAUAGGUUUGGAAAACACAAUUCUCAUUCAUGUUUCCUGUAAUAAAAAAAACAUUUUAAUCUUUUAAAAAUCUUUUUAUUUUUGUGUUUACGCUUUAUUUCAUAGUGACAGUAGAGACAGACAGGAAAGGCAGGGGAGAGAGGCUGCAUUAAGGACUCAGCCUUGAUACACAGGUGAACUACCCAGGCGCCCCUGUUUACUGUAAUGUUUAGGACAUGAAGCGCAUGUUUGGCAGUCUUUAUUUGCAGGGUUACACAAAUUUUGACACAAGUGAAAUUUGAACCAGCUACACAAUCUGCAGUCCAAAUGUAAACUGCCCCACCACCACAAUUCACUAUUCAAACAAUGCGGGGACUACACUGAUUGUUGAAUUUUUUUGCUACAUUUUUAAUUCUAAUCCAUUGGAAACCAAACAAAAUAUGACUUUUACUUUUAAAGUGAUUAUCAAGUCAAGAAUGUGAAUUUACCUGUAAUUUAUGUGAAGAAAAAAAAAA